UACGUAGGGGGCAAGCGUUGUCCGGAAUCAUUGGGCGUAAAGCGCACGUAGGCGGCCCGGUAAGUCCGUUGUGAAAGUCGGAGGCUCAACCUCUGGAGGCCAAUGGAUACUGCCGGGCUAGAGUCCGGAAGAGGCGAGUGGAAUUCCUGGUGUAGCGGUGGAAUGCGCAGAUAUCGGGAGGAACACCGGUGGCGAAGGCGGUUCUCUGGGCCUUACCUGACGCUGAGGAGCGAAAGCGUGGGGAGCGAACAGG
rnacentral:rRNA from 1 species